rnacentral:rRNA from 1 species
UACAGAGGUCUCGAGCGUUGUUCGGAUUCAUUGGGCGUAAAGGGUGCGUAGGUGGCGUCGUAAGUCAGGUGUGAAAUCUCGGGGCUCAACCCCGAAACUGCACUUGAUACUGCGAUGCUUGAGUACUGGAGAGGAGAUUGGAAUUUACGGUGUAGCAGUGAAAUGCGUAGAUAUCGUAAGGAAGACCAGUGGCGAAGGCGAAUCUCUGGACAGUUACUGACACUGAGUCACGAAGUCCACGGGAGCAAACGGG